rnacentral:rRNA from 1 species
CAAUAGCGUAUAUUAAAGUUGUUGCGGUUAAAAAGCUCGUAGUUGGAUUUCUGCCGAGGACGACCGGUCCGCCCUCUGGGUGUGUAUCUGGUUUGGCCUGGGCAUCUUCUUGGAGAACGUAGCUGCACUUGACUGUGUGGUGCGGUGUCCAGGACUUUUACUUUGAGGAAAUUAGAGUGUUUCAAGCAGGCACACGCCUUGAAUACAUUAGCAUGGAAUAAUAAGAUAGGACCUCGGUUCUAUUUUGUUGGUUUCUAGAGCUGAGGUAAUGAUUAAUGGGGAUAGUUGGGGGCAUUCGUAUUUAACUGUCAGAGGUGAAAUUCUUGGAUUUGUUAAAGACGGACUACUACGAAAGCAUUUGCCAAGGAUGUUUUCAUUG